GGAAAAAAAGAAGAAAUUCCAAUUGUAUCAUCGAGUCGAAAUGUUGCUCGAUCGACGCGAUGCGAUAAUGCACAAAGUUCCAUCGAUUGUGUUGUAGAUCACGAUUCGAAUGAAUUCGUCGACGCGUUACCCCGUCGGCGGAGAGAUGCAAGUAUGUUUCGUGUGGAAGAAGUUCUUCGAAGAAGUGGCCCCGCAAUAACGAGAGGUGUAUCAUACGCGAAACAACGUCCAGCGAGUGUAGCCAAAAAACAAGAGGGCGCGUCUGUGCAAGGAAAGAAAAGCGAUAAACACGUGUGCGAAAGAAUACGCGGUCCAUACCUGGCCCGCCAUUUGGGCGGCAUGGUCCUUUGGGCCACUAUACUAUUCCUACAAGGAGCUGGUUUCGUAGGCUCGGUAACAGGUAUUCCUGGUGUUCCGGAAAAUAUAACGGUGAUGUUCCUGAAUCCAACCUCUGUGCGCGUAUCUUGGAGCACCAGUCAGGUCGAACAAGUUGAAAAAUACGACGUCACGUACAAGCCAACGGAUGCCAGGAAAUACAAUGACAGUUACAGGGUGGUGGCGGUGGUCGCGGGAAAUAGCGAGGCGGUCACGUUGAGCGGUCUGAGGGCCGACACGCAAUACCAGCUGGUCGUCACCGCCGUCAGAGGUGGGAAAAAAUUUCGAAGCCGGCCGAUCGUCUUCCGUACGCUUGAACCGCCGCGAACAUCCCCGCAACAGGACGCAGCGGUAACCGGUGGCCCUCUUCCGCCCCCUCCACCCUCUUCUCAGCAACCCCAAGCUUACAUACAGGUCCGUGGCGUGGAAGUGGGGAUAGUCGUGUUGGUGUUGAUCUUUUGGGCGGGCGCGAUAGCGUUGUUCUUCAAUCGUUGGGGCAAGAUUCGUAUGUUGUUGCCGUAUCAACCCGAUUACAAGGAACAAUUGAAAGUUCCUGGGACUGGGGUGUGCGCAGCGGCGAACGCCGCGUACACGCAACAUCCCACUCAGCACACCUGUUCUCAGCAUCUGCACUGGUCGAGCCAUCACGUGGACUCGUUGGACAGCGGAGGCGGUUUCGGAUGGGCGAGAACAUCGAGGCCGCGGGUGAACAGCGCCAUCGACGUAGCCGGCUUCCUAUCCCAGGAAUUUUUAAGACGACACGGUUCCACGUCGAAAUUGUGCCGGAAGGUUCGCAGUGCGGAUAAUUUACCCCUGGCGUCCUCGAAUCGACAAGAUCAACGGAAUUCGAAGGAGGAGGGGAUGGACGGAGACAAAGAGUCUUUCCUGAGAUCGACCCAAGAGGAGAAAUCCGAGGAUUUGGAAUCGAAGAGGCACAGCAGUUUGGAGAGUUGUCCGAAGGACAAUCCGGACAUCUCGUUGCUCGAUCCCAAUCAUCAACAACAAUCUUCCAGGGAUUCCCCGAUCACGUGUUCGUCGUCGUUGGUCGGCCGACGUUUCGGUGGAUGGCGAGCAGGCGGGAGUCACGAAUACGUUCGAUGUCCCGUGCGACAACCGGCUUCCAUGGACGAGAGGUAUUGUCGGCGUUCCGGGGAAACGGAGGGUCGGCCGACGAUCGGCCGCUAUCAUCAUUAUCAUCGGAGGGGAGGGAUCGAGCGACACUCGAAGAGCUGCGACUACGCGACGAAACGAACGACGGCCGAAUCGAGCAUCGAGGUUCAGCACUUCGGCCUUCCUAUACUGAGCGUGAGCGAGCCCAGCCCGCCGGACGAGAACGACCGCGUCGACGAUUAUUUGUAGGACUUGCUUGCCGAGGACUUCCUCAAGGAGCUCCUCGUAUGACCGUCCCCUAAUCUCCCCGAGUCCCCCACCACUCCUUCCUCGCGAAAAUUCCAACCGUGAAAAAUAAAGAGAGGAAGAAGUUGGAUAUUUCCAAUUCGAAUUCGCGCCCGACACAAUCGAGAGUGUUAUUCCGAUUCCAGAUGAUCGUACAAUGUCAAUUUCGAUGAUAUACAUAUAUAUAUAUUUUUUUUUCCUCGAUUCGCCGUGUGAUAGAUCGAUAUUCGUUUCCAAGAUAUCGCGUAAUAGAUGUUUCGUGUGACUCUACUACCUUCGUUUCGACCGCCCCUCGUGUCUUCACGCUCGUGUCAAUAGCGUGUCCUCUGGUUUCGAAAGAAAGAAAGGAAAAUUUGAAUUCGAUUAAUUUUUUUGAAUAUUCGAUCGAGUAUCAAGAUGCGAUGUAUCAAGCGUUGACGAAUGUCCACAUAUCCGAUAAUAUAUAACACGGCACGAUCAUCGUGAUAAAAAAGCUCGAAAUUCCGAUAGAUAUUUAAAUAACGAAGCGAGAAUCGUAUUAAUCGUGUCCAACUCGGUGAUAUAUAUAUAUAUAUUUCGAUUUCUCUCCUUUGCUUUUCUCUCCUUUCAUCGAUACGAUAAUCGAGCAAUAGUAUCGAUCGUUGUCGCGAGCUAUCCUAUUAUGGAGGGUAUAGCGCUAUUUUAAACAUGGGUGUAUAAACGAGUAAAUAAAAUUUUAAAUAAUUUUUAUGAACGAUCAAUGAUAAUUGUUCUACAAGAGCUUCGAGAAUUUUACGUCCAACUUACGAUCUUAUAUAUACAUAUUAUAUAUAUAUAUAUAUAUAGGCGAGAACGAACGAUAUUAUACCCUGCGUUUCUUCUUUUCUUCUCAAAUUUUCCUUUUAUCGUCGAAAGUUUGAAAUUUAUCCGUCACUUGCGAUUAGAUUAAAAAUAUGUGCGACAGAGUUCAAUUACGCUUACUUUUAUUCGUAUAUCGCGCGCAUCUUGAACAUCGAAUCAUCGAUGAGAGCUUAUCGAUUAGAUCGAAAUUUUAAUUCGAGUAUUUUUAUCGCCUGUUUAAACUCGGACCAAUCGGUGCGAUACAAAGGGGGCCAUAAUUUCCUGUUUCCGUGUUACGUUUUGCGAUCGCACACUUGGGAAAAGGGAAAAUUUUCGUUUGAAAAGAGAUCGUAAUCGCUUUGCUUUGUUUGAAUCAUACCGGUAGGAGACGACCGAGGUAGAAUAUCGUCAAAUUCGGGGACCAAAUAAAUAGUUGUAAACGUAAUACCGACGAAUCAAUUAAUUUUUCUUUUAUUUUUAUAUUCUCCCUUUCUUUCCACGUCGCUAUUUACGUUUCUAUUUUGCAUUUCUAAUUUAAUUCUCAUCGUUCGAAAUACGCAUCGAAUCGGACGAGGACGAAAGGAGAAUAUUGAAUCAAGGUUGAUGGGAAAAAACGACGAAUCGCGGCUUAGUUCAAUUUCCAACAUCUUCUUUUCUUUUCUUUUUUUUUUUUUUUUUUUUUUUUUCUUUUUCAUUUCUCACGCGAGCGUGUAAUAUUCUUUGAAUCGAAAAAUAAAUAAAGCAGUUUUGCCGAGCGCGAAUGAUGAGAUAAAAUAUCAUCUCAAAAAUCUCGGAAUUUUUUUCCAACCAACCUAACAACGUCUCUUUCAUAAAUUGCAUAUCAUGUAUUGUCUGUCGUGCGAGGUUAAGUAUCCUCCAACGAUGAAGAUAAAAACCGACCAAUCGAAUUGCGAAUCAAUUUUAAACGGACAAUUACCUACUGUAUAAAGUUGAACACGUGUGUAUAUAUUUAUACAUACAAAUGUAGAAAGAUGAAAAAAAAAAAAUAUGUGAUAUAUCGUAGAGAAAUGUUUUAUUUCUUUUUUUUUUUUUUUUUUUUGAAAAAAAAAAUCCGCAAUUCGUGAAAAUUGAAAUUGAAUAUAUUACUAUACAUUGGAUAAUUGGAAUGAUCGUUUCGUUUGUAAUUUCAUCUAUAUUCAUCUAUUUUCGAUAGAACAGAGGAUAAAGAAGGAGUUUGAUCGCGAGUGUGACCAACUGUGAAUACUGUCGCACGUAUCAAUCCAACCUGUGUGUGGACGACUAAAUACGCGAUGUGUCGCGUGUCACAUAUAGAUAAUAUUAUUAUAUACCAGUUAUAAAAGCGAAUCGAUAGUGCAACCUUAACUCUUACGAUCGACACGAUUCUCCUACCUUCUAAUUUUUCUCUUUUUUUUUUUAUUCAAUCGCGAUCGAGUACCACCCUCGUCUACCUACCUACCUACCUACCUACCUAUCCACCUUCCUUCUUCUUCUUCAAAAAUAUUCUGUGUAAAUAUAAUCGUGUUUUUUUCACACAAUCGGAUAUAAUGAUACGAUAUUUUUAACUCGUUUACAUUGAAUAGGAUAAUUAUAAUUUCUUGAUUCUUCGUUCGACGAGGAAAGAUUGGCCGACGAAUGAUAAAAUAAUAAUAAUAAUAAUAAUAACAAUUAUUAUUUCGUACGAAACGAAGAAGAUGAAUUGAGAUCGAACGAAGAAUCAAGCGAUAUAUAUAUAUAUAUAUAUACAUAGAUAUAAGAAAAUUUCAGAAUCACCGAAUUCUAUAUGAUAUAACGAACGAAGAUUUAUAUAUGUGUAUAUAUAUAUAUAUAUAUAUAUAUAUUUAUCUCUGUAUAUAUAUAUACAUAUAUGUAUGUACUUACUUAGGUUAGAAUUCUGAUCAUGUUGAUCUAAAGCGGAUCAGUGCUAUAUUGAACGAUCAUUUGAUCGACUUGAAGCUUUGACGCAACUUUCCUAUUUAUUGUUAUUGCAAAUUGAUAUGGGAAAUGAGUGAGAAUGAAAAUAAUUGUAUAAAAA
rnacentral:misc_RNA from 1 species